rnacentral:rRNA from 1 species
AGUGAACGCUGGCGGUAGGCCUAACACAUGCAAGUCGAACGGCAGCACAGUAAGAGCUUGCUCUUACGGGUGGCGAGUGGCGGACGGGUGAGGAAUACAUCGGAAUCUACUUUUUCGUGGGGGAUAACGUAGGGAAACUUACGCUAAUACCGCAUACGACCUACGGGUGAAAGCAGGGGAUCUUCGGACCUUGCGCGAUUGAAUGAGCCGAUGUCGGAUUAGCUAGUUGGCGGGGUAAAGGCCCACCAAGGCGACGAUCCGUAGCUGGUCUGAGAGGAUGAUCAGCCACACUGGAACUGAGACACGGUCCAGACUCCUACAGGAGGCAGCAGUGGGGAAUAUUGGACAAUGGGCGCAAGCCUGAUCCAGCCAUACCGCGUGGGUGAAGAAGGCCUUCGGGUUGUAAAGCCCUUUUGUUGGGAAAGAAAAGCAGCAGGUUAAUACCCCGCUGUUCUGACGGUACCCAAAGAAUAAGCACCGGCUAACCUCGUG